UACGGGGGGGGCAAGCGUUGUUCGGAAUUACUGGGCGUAAAGGGCUCGUAGGCGGCCAACUAAGUCGGACGUGAAAUCCCUCGGCUUAACCGGGGAACUGCGUCCGAUACUGGAUGGCUUGAGUUUGGGAGAGGGAUGCGGAAUUCCAGGUGUAGCGGUGAAAUGCGUAGAGAUCCGGCGGAACACCGGUGGUGAAGGCGGCUUCCUUGGCCGAACCCGACGCUGAGGCGCGAGAGCGCGGGGAGCGAACCGG
rnacentral:rRNA from 1 species